rnacentral:rRNA from 1 species
GACGAACGCUGGCGGCGUGCCUAAUACAUGCAAGUUGAGCGCUGAAGGUUGGUACUUGUACCAACUGGAUGAGCAGCGAACGGGUGAGUAACGCGUGGGGAAUCUGCCUUUGAGCGGGGGACAACAUUUGGAAACGAAUGCUAAUACCGCAUAAAAACUUUAAACACAAGUUUUAAGUUUGAAACAUGCAAUUGCAUCACUCAAAGAUGAUCCCGCGUUGUAUUAGCUAGUUGGUGAGGUAAAGGCUCACCAAGGCGAUGAUACAUAGCCGACCUGAGAGGGUGAUCGGCCACAUUGGGACUGAGACACGGCCCAAACUCCUACGGGAGGCAGCAGUAGGGAAUCUUCGGCAAUGGACGAAAGUCUGACCGAGCAACGCCGCGUGAGUGAAGAAGGUUUUCGGAUCGUAAAACUCUGUUGGUAGAGAAGAACGUUGGUGAGAGUGGAAAGCUCAUCAAGUGACGGUAACUACCCAGAAAGGGACGGCUAACUACGUG